AAGCGUUUAUGACCAGACUUUUUCCUAGUGGAUCAUCCGGUGUUCUCACCGGUGCACUUCGCUAGGUUGAGGCCAGCAUCGGUUUCCGUAGGGGGAUAAAAGCUUUAGGAAUGUGGCAUCUUCGGAUGUGUUAUAGACCU
rnacentral:rRNA from 1 species